ACUGUGACAAAUAUGCAUCUCCCUCGUUAACGGGUAUGCAAACAAGCGAAAAUACAAUGCUUUCUUCCUGGAGAGCUUUGUAGAAUACAUAUAUCUCACAUUUAUGUGUGCUGUUAUGCAGAGUAAUGAUGGCAGAUACUGGUGUAGCAGGAGCUUGGCCUGAAGCCCGUGCCUGAUUCUUCUCUGUGUGAGGACUUGGUUCUUGGUUUGGCUGUGGGGAACAAAUUUGGAACUGUCGUCAACUGCAUGACUUCAGUUCAGGUUUAAAACCUUAUCUAGCUUAUUGUGAUUGUCUUGAUUAUGCCAUUAAAGAACUUUUAAGAUUUGUGUAUUAUGCCACUAAGACAUAUUACCUUCUCUGUGUUAAAAAGGCAUGUUCUGCUUAAACGACUCGGCCAACUACGGCUCUCAGUUGUAGUCUUCAUGGUUUUGUUCCUCCAUUCUUGGCACGUCCUUAUCUGCAAAUGAAUGUCAACCUUCCAUUACUAUCUGCCU
rnacentral:lncRNA from 1 species